UCCCAGACUCCUACGGGAGGCAGCAGUGGGGAAUAUUGCACAAUGGGGGAAACCCUGAUGCAGCAACGCCGCGUGAGUGAAGAAGUAUUUCGGUAUGUAAAGCUCUAUCAGCAGGGAAGAAGAGAGACGGUACCUGACUAAGAAGCCCCGGCUAACUACGUGCCAGCAGCCGCGGUAAUACGUAGGGGGCGAGCGUUAUCCGGAUUUACUGGGUGUAAAGGGAGCGUAGACGGUUUUUCAAGUCUGAAGUGAAAGCCCGCGGCUCAACUGCGGAACGGCUUUGGAAACUGAGUAACUGGAGUGCUGGAGGGGCAGGCGGAAUUCCUGGUGUAGCGGUGAAAUGCGUAGAUAUCACGCAGAACUCCGAUUGCGAAGGCAGCAUACCGGCGCCCAACUGACGCUGAAGCACGAAAGCGUGGGUAUCGAACAGGAUUAGAUACCCUGGUAC
rnacentral:rRNA from 1 species